GUUUGGCACCUCGAUGUCGGCUCAUCACAUCCUGGGGCUGUAGUCGGUCCCAAGGGUAUGGCUGUUCGCCAUUUAAAGUGGUACGCGAGCUGGGUUCAGAACGUCGUGAGACAGUUCGGUCCCUAUCUGCCAUGGGCUUGGAGAUUUGAGAGGGGCUGCUCCUAGUACGAGAGGACCGGAGUGGACGAACCUCUGGUGUUCCGGUUGUCACGCCAGUGGCAUUGCCGGGUAGCUAUGUUCGGAAGCGAUAACCGCUGAAAGCAUCUAAGCGGGAAGCGCGCCUCAAGAUGAGAUCUCCCGGGGCACAAGCCCCCUGAAGGAACCAUGUAGACUACGUGGUUGAUAGGUCAGGUGUGUAAGUACAGCAAUGUAUUGAGCUAACUGAUACUAAUGAUCCGUGCGGCUUGACCAU
rnacentral:rRNA from 1 species